rnacentral:rRNA from 1 species
GACGAACGCUGGCGGCGUGGAUUAGGCAUGCAAGUCGAACGGUAUCAUCCUUUCGGGGGUGAGAGAGUGGCGAACUGGUGAGUAACACGUAGGUUAUCUACCCUCAAGACGGGGACAACCCAGGGAAACUUGGGCUAAUACCGGAUGUGAGCAACUUUUAGUUGUUUGAAAGGUGGCGUAAGCUGUCGCUUGGGGAUGAGCCUGCGUCCUAUUAGUUAGUUGGUGAGGUAACGGCUCACCUAGGCAAUGAUAGGUAGGCGGCCUUAACGGGUGGUCGCCCACACUGGGAUUGAGAUACGGCCCAGACUCCUACGGGAGGCAGCAGUCGAGAAUAGUCUACAAUGGUCGGAAGACUGAUAGUGCGACGCCGCGUGAACGAUGAAUCCCUUCGGGGUUAAAGUUCUUUUAUAUGUGAGCAGUGCUUCUUAUAUUAACAGUAUGGGGAAGAGAUAUUAGCAUAUGAAAUAAGCAAACGGCUAAACUCCGUGCCCAGCCAAGCCCGCGGUUAAAUAC